GUGCUGCAACCUGUUGCCGAAAAAAUAAUCAAGACAGCGAGGAAAAAGCGGCACACAGAAAAUAUUUUUGAAGAAUUUGAUACCCUAAUGAAUGCUUCCACCGAAGAUGCUGCAGGAGAGCUGACGCUCACUGCUGCUCUUUGUGUUCUCCCUACCCUGGUGAAAGAGAGAGUUGAUGCAUUGACCUGCCAUUUUGACCCUGCCAAGGUACAUUAUGUACCUACGGUGACGUUUGUUGGGAGCCUGUUGACGGCGAAAGAAUUCACCGUGCGUCUGGAGGGCAUUUCCAUUGAAGAAAAUACGCUGUUGGAAGCCAUUGCGACCCAAAU